CUGGGAGGCAGGGUGGUGAAGGAGCUAAGUAAAUGGGCUCUGGGAUCACACCACCUGGGUCCAUUUUGAGCUCUGCCUGUUAGGUCGGGGUAGGUUCAACCCCUGUAGCACAAACACCAGAUGCAUCCUGGGAAAUACUGUUCUCUUUAAAACUGCAGGAGUGGCCCCCGUUGAGAUGGAGGUUGAACAAGCAUUUCCCUAGAGUCCUGUGGUCCAUAGCAUUGUCUGCUAAGAUGCUGGGCUGUCCUGGAGCUGCGGCUGGAGUCAGGUUCAAAUGCAGCACCCGGCAGCACACUACACAGAGACGGUGUCUCACUCUGUCAGCCCAGGCUGGAGUGAAGUGGCGCAAUCUUGGCUCACUGCAGCCUCCGUCUCCUGAAUUCAAGCAAUUCUCCUGCCUCAGCCUCCCAAGAAGCUCAGAUUACAGGUGAGGACACCAUGUUCCUCUACUGUUGUGGAUGCAGCCCUCACCAGACGACCGAACCUGCCAGUGCCUUGUUCUUGGACUUCCUAGCCUUCAGAACUACUGUUUGACCUCUGGUAACUAAAACUGCAGAAGGCAAAACUGGAUAAGGAGACUACUGUAAUGAUUAUGCUAUUACAAGACGCUCGAUUGCUAACAUCAGACAUUUUUAUAAAAGG
rnacentral:lncRNA from 1 species